UACGUAGGGUGCAAGCGUUAUUCGGAAUCACUGGGCGUAAAGGGCGCGCAGGCGGUUUUGUAAGUCUAAAGUGAAAUCCUUGGGCUUAACCCAAAGGCUGCUUUGGAUACUGCAAAACUCGAGUUCGGGAAAAGCAAGCGGAAUUCCUGGUGAAGGGGUGAAAUCCGUAGAUAUCAGGAAGAACACCAGUGGCGAAAGCGGCUUGCUAGAAAGCAACUGACGCUUAGGCGCGAAAGCGUGGGGAGCAAACAGG
rnacentral:rRNA from 1 species